AGCGUACACGGUGGAUGCCCUGGCAGUCAGAGGCGAUGAAGGACGUGCUAAUCUGCGAUAAGCGUCGGUAAGGUGAUAUGAACCGUUAUAACCGGCGAUUUCCGAAUGGGGAAACCCAGUGUGUUUCGACACACUAUCAUUAACUGAAUCCAUAGGUUAAUGAGGCGAACCGGGGGAACUGAAACAUCUAAGUACCCCGAGGAAAAGAAAUCAACCGAGAUUCCCCCAGUAGCGGCGAGCGAACGGGGAGCAGCCCAGAGCCUGAAUCAGUGUGUGUGUUAGUGGAAGCGUCUGGAAAGGCGCGCGAUACAGGGUGACAGCCCCGUACACAAAAAUGCACAUGCUGUGAGCUCGAUGAGUAGGGCGGGACACGUGGUAUCCUGUCUGAAUAUGGGGGGACCAUCCUCCAAGGCUAAAUACUCCUGACUGACCGAUAGUGAACCAGUACCGUGAGGGAAAGGCGAAAAGAACCCCGGCGAGGGGAGUGAAAAAGAACCUGAAACCGUGUACGUACAAGCAGUGGGAGCACGCUUAGGCGUGUGACUGCGUACCUUUUGUAUAAUGGGUCAGCGACUUAUAUUCUGUAGCAAGGUUAACCGAAUAGGGGAGCCGAAGGGAAACCGAGUCUUAACUGGGCGUUAAGUUGCAGGGUAUAGACCCGAAACCCGGUGAUCUAGCCAUGGGCAGGUUGAAGGUUGGGUAACACUAACUGGAGGACCGAACCGACUAAUGUUGAAAAAUUAGCGGAUGACUUGUGGCUGGGGGUGAAAGGCCAAUCAAACCGGGAGAUAGCUGGUUCUCCCCGAAAGCUAUUUAGGUAGCGCCUCGUGAAUUCAUCUCCGGGGGUAGAGCACUGUUUCGGCAAGGGGGUCAUCCCGACUUACCAACCCGAUGCAAACUGCGAAUACCGGAGAAUGUUAUCACGGGAGACACACGGCGGGUGCUAACGUCCGUCGUGAAGAGGGAAACAACCCAGACCGCCAGCUAAGGUCCCAAAGUCAUGGUUAAGUGGGAAACGAUGUGGGAAGGCCCAGACAGCCAGGAUGUUGGCUUAGAAGCAGCCAUCAUUUAAAGAAAGCGUAAUAGCUCACUGGUCGAGUCGGCCUGCGCGGAAGAUGUAACGGGGCUAAACCAUGCACCGAAGCUGCGGCAGCGACGCUUAUGCGUUGUUGGGUAGGGGAGCGUUCUGUAAGCCUGUGAAGGUGUGCUGUGAGGCAUGCUGGAGGUAUCAGAAGUGCGAAUGCUGACAUAAGUAACGAUAAAGCGGGUGAAAAGCCCGCUCGCCGGAAGACCAAGGGUUCCUGUCCAACGUUAAUCGGGGCAGGGUGAGUCGACCCCUAAGGCGAGGCCGAAAGGCGUAGUCGAUGGGAAACAGGUUAAUAUUCCUGUACUUGGUGUUACUGCGAAGGGGGGACGGAGAAGGCUAUGUUGGCCGGGCGACGGUUGUCCCGGUUUAAGCGUGUAGGCUGGUUUUCCAGGCAAAUCCGGAAAAUCAAGGCUGAGGCGUGAUGACGAGGCACUACGGUGCUGAAGCAACAAAUGCCCUGCUUCCAGGAAAAGCCUCUAAGCAUCAGGUAACAUCAAAUCGUACCCCAAACCGACACAGGUGGUCAGGUAGAGAAUACCAAGGCGCUUGAGAGAACUCGGGUGAAGGAACUAGGCAAAAUGGUGCCGUAACUUCGGGAGAAGGCACGCUGAUAUGUAGGUGAAGUCCCUCGCGGAUGGAGCUGAAAUCAGUCGAAGAUACCAGCUGGCUGCAACUGUUUAUUAAAAACACAGCACUGUGCAAACACGAAAGUGGACGUAUACGGUGUGACGCCUGCCCGGUGCCGGAAGGUUAAUUGAUGGGGUCAGCGCAAGCGAAGCUCUUGAUCGAAGCCCCGGUAAACGGCGGCCGUAACUAUAACGGUCCUAAGGUAGCGAAAUUCCUUGUCGGGUAAGUUCCGACCUGCACGAAUGGCGUAAUGAUGGCCAGGCUGUCUCCACCCGAGACUCAGUGAAAUUGAACUCGCUGUGAAGAUGCAGUGUACCCGCGGCAAGACGGAAAGACCCCGUGAACCUUUACUAUAGCUUGACACUGAACAUUGAGCCUUGAUGUGUAGGAUAGGUGGGAGGCUUGGAAGUGUGGACGCCAGUCUGCAUGGAGCCGACCUUGAAAUACCACCCUUUAAUGUUUGAUGUUCUAACGUUGACCCGUAAUCCGGGUUGCGGACAGUGUCUGGUGGGUAGUUUGACUGGGGCGGUCUCCUCCUAAAGAGUAACGGAGGAGCACGAAGGUUGGCUAAUCCUGGUCGGACAUCAGGAGGUUAGUGCAAUGGCAUAAGCCAGCUUGACUGCGAGCGUGACGGCGCGAGCAGGUGCGAAAGCAGGUCAUAGUGAUCCGGUGGUUCUGAAUGGAAGGGCCAUCGCUCAACGGAUAAAAGGUACUCCGGGGAUAACAGGCUGAUACCGCCCAAGAGUUCAUAUCGACGGCGGUGUUUGGCACCUCGAUGUCGGCUCAUCACAUCCUGGGGCUGAAGUAGGUCCCAAGGGUAUGGCUGUUCGCCAUUUAAAGUGGUACGCGAGCUGGGUUUAGAACGUCGUGAGACAGUUCGGUCCCUAUCUGCCGUGGGCGCUGGAGAACUGAGGGGGGCUGCUCCUAGUACGAGAGGACCGGAGUGGACGCAUCACUGGUGUUCGGGUUGUCAUGCCAAUGGCACUGCCCGGUAGCUAAAUGCGGAAGAGAUAAGUGCUGAAAGCAUCUAAGCACGAAACUUGCCCCGAGAUGAGUUCUCCCUGACUCCUUGA
rnacentral:rRNA from 2 species